rnacentral:rRNA from 1 species
UGAGGAAUUUUGCGCAAUGGGAGCAAUCCUGACGCAGCAACGCCGCGUGGGUGAUGAAGGCCUUCGGGUCGUAAAGCCCUGUCAGGUGGGAAGAAUGUCCUGGAAUUGAACAGGUUUCGGGAGUGACGGUACCACCAGAGGAAGCACCGGCUAACUCCGUGCCAGCAGCCGCGGUAAUACGGAGGGUGCAAGCGUUAUUCGGAAUUACUGGGCGUAAAGCGCGUGUAGGCGGUCCUGCAAGUCUGAUGUGAAAGCCCCGGGCUUAACCCGGGAAGUGCAUUGGAAACGGCAGGUCUUGAGGACGGGAGAGGAGGGGGGAAUUCCCGGUGUAGAGGUGAAAGUCGUAGAGAUCGGGAGGAAUAUCAGUGGCGAAGGCGCCCAUCUGGACGGUAACUGACGCUGAGACGCGAAAGCGUGGGGAGCAAACA